rnacentral:rRNA from 1 species
UACAGAGGGGGCAAGCGUUGUUCGGAAUUACUGGGCGUAAAGGGCGCGUAGGCGGCCAACUAAGUCAGACGUGAAAUCCCCAGGCUCAACCUGGGAACUGCGUCUGAUACUGGAUGGCUCGAGUUCGGAAGAGGCGAGUGGAAUUCCUGGUGUAGCGGUGAAAUGCGCAGAUAUCAGGAGGAACACCGAUGGCGAAGGCAGCUCGCUGGGACGGUACUGACGCUGAGACGCGAAAGCGUGGGGAGCAAACAGG